rnacentral:rRNA from 1 species
CCUACGGGGGGCUGCAGUGGGGAAUAUUGCACAAUGGGCGCAAGCCUGAUGCAGCCAUGCCGCGUGUGUGAAGAAGGCCUUCGGGUUGUAAAGCACUUUCAGCGGGGAGGAAGGCGGUGAGGUUAAUAACCUCAUCGAUUGACGUUACCCGCAGAAGAAGCACCGGCUAACUCCGUGCCAGCAGCCGCGGUAAUACGGAGGGUGCAAGCGUUAAUCGGAAUUACUGGGCGUAAAGCGCACGCAGGCGGUCUGUCAAGUCGGAUGUGAAAUCCCCGGGCUCAUCCUGGGAACUGCAUUCGAAACUGGCAGGCUAGAGUCUUGUAGAGGGGGGUAGAAUUCCAGGUGUAGCGGUGAAAUGCGUAGAGAUCUGGAGGAAUACCGGUGGCGAAGGCGGCCCCCUGGACAAAGACUGACGCUCAGGUGCGAAAGCGUGGGGAGCAAACAGGAUUAGAUACCCGUGUAGUC